GACAAGACAUGGAGGACAGACAGAGCACAGCCAUCAUCAUCGCGGCAGAGGCCCUGGUUACUCAGCUCUCCCUUCUCAAGUAGGGUGCUGAACCCAGGAAGGGCUCCCUGCUCCCAGUCGCCCUGGCAAGGCUUCAGACCUCCUCGCCCUCGGAGUCAACCCUGGGCCAGCUAGAAGCAUGCAGCUUGUAGGAAGGCAGGUCCUCCAGUUAGGGGGACCUGCAUCUCUGGGUAUGUGACCUAUCCCCACUGCAUAUGGCCUUGACCCCUGGGUUGCAGGGUACUGGAUGGGAUGGGGGAAAUUCUCUCUCCUUUUCACCUCUCAGACAAGGACCUGUAUCUGGACAUUAUAUCCUAAGAUGACUGGGAGGCCACCCUAGGUAGACCUUGAACACAGUGUGGCUCCAUCACACCUGCAGUAAGAACUACAGGAUGGGAGGGACAGAAAGAUCCGUGUGCUGAGGUCCACAUAUGCAGGUCACAGCUGGACAGCAGCUGUGAGGGCAGGGUUGUCACAGGAAGUGGCCUGUCUCCUGGCUUACUGGGAGCCUUGCAUUCUUUUUAAAGAGCUGGCUAGUUGUUUUCAUGGGGAGCCUGGGAAGCUGAGCCACCUGGUGGUCUCCAGCAGAGCCAGGACUACAUUCCAGGGGCCAGCCUGAAGCCUUGGCUUGCCCACCUCCUGUCCACAGUCCACUGGGCUUGUGGGGUGCUUCCUCAGUCAGGGCUGCAGGAGCUGAGAUACCAGCUGGGGCACACGCCCACCCUAGGUUCCUCCAUCUGGCUGCAGCAGCCCUGUCUGAGUUCCCUUCGAAGUUUAUUUUAAACUAUUUCACGUGGAAAAACUCAGCUUCCUCCUCACUAGUAGUUCCAAGAAGGUUAACCCCUUCCUCUCCAAUCUGCCUAAGUGCGGCUCCCCAAGCUGAGCCUCCCUCUUUAACAGGUCAGAGGUCAGCGCUCACCCAUCUCACUCUGUUCCCAGGUCCAGAGGAGUCAAAAGAGCUGCUUAGGACACACCACGGGGAGAGGCUUGUAGGUUUUACCAUGGCCUCCAGGCUCUGAGGGAGCUGGGCAGAGCUGGAACUUGGCAUUCACAGCCUGGAAAAACCUGAAACGGCCGGUCUUGGUUCUGUAAUCUGAACCCUUUGGGGCUGCUGUGCAGUGGCACAUCAAGUGCAAGCCCACUGCCAACAAGUCCUUCUCUUCAGAGACAUAAGAUGCUGCGAGGGUGGGGACCCGCUGCAGCCCUCACAGCGCCCUGCAAGCUGAUGGUACCCCAGCUGCCCGACACCUCUGUCGAGCACUGCCCCAUUCCUGCCUAGGCUCUCUGUAUAAUUUAGACACAGGAGACUGAAAAGC
rnacentral:lncRNA from 1 species